rnacentral:rRNA from 1 species
GGGCAGCUAGCCAGUGAUGGCAUGCGAAUCUCGAAAGCCUGUCUCAGUUCGGAUUGGAGGCUGAAACCCGCCUCCAUGAAGUUGGAUUCGCUAGUAAUCGCGCAUCAGCCAUGGCGCGGUGAAUACGUUCCCGGGCCUUGUACACACCGCCCGUCAAGCCAUGGAAGCCGGGGGUGCCUGAAGUUCGUGACCGCAAGGAGCGACCUAGGGCAAAACUGGUGACUGGGGCUAAGUCGUAACAAGGUAAC